rnacentral:rRNA from 1 species
CCUACGGGUGGCAGCAGUGAGGAAUAUUGGUCAAUGGACGAGAGCCUGAACCAGCCAAGUAGCGUGAAGGAUGACUGCCCUACGGGUUGUAAACUUCUUUUAUAUGGGAAUAAAAUGCUGCACGUGUGGGAUUUUGUAUGUACCAUAUGAAUAAAGAUCGGCUAACUCCGUGCCAGCAGCCGCGGUAAUACGGAGGAUCCGAGCGUUAUCCGGAUUUAUUGGGUGUAAAGGGAGCGUAGUUGGGUUGUUAAGUCAGUUGUGAAAGUUUGCGGCUCAACCGUAAAAUUGCAGUUGAAACUGGCAGUCUGGAGGACAGUAGAGGUAGGCGGAAUUCGUGGUGUAGCGGUGAAAUGCUUAGAUAUCACGAAGAACUCCGAUUGCGAAGGCAGCUCACUAGACUGCAACUGACACUGAUGCUCGAAAGUGUGGGUAUCAAACAGGAUUAGAUACCCUGGUAGUC